rnacentral:lncRNA from 1 species
CUCAGUCACACCAAGUAACCUGUGGGGCGGCCAGGGCUUAUUGGGAGUGAGCAUUCGUUUCUGCAGCUUUGAUGGGGCAAAUGAAAAUGUUUGGCAUGUGCUGGAGGUGGAAUCAAAUUCUCCUGCAGCACUGGCAGGUCUUAGACCACACAGUGAUUAUAUAAUUGGAGCAGAUACAGUCAUGAAUGAGUCUGAAGAUCUAUUCAGCCUUAUCGAAACACAUGAAGCAAAACCAUUGAAACUGUAUGUGUACAACACAGACACUGAUAACUGUCGAGAAGUGAUUAUUACACCAAAUUCUGCAUGGGGUGGAGAAGGCAGCCUAGGAUGUGGCAUUGGAUAUGGUUAUUUGCAUCGAAUACCUACACGCCCAUUUGAGGAAGGAAAGAAAAUUUCUCUUCCAGGACAAAUGGCUGGUACACCUAUUACACCUCUUAAAGAUGGGUUUACAGAGGUCCAGCUGUCCUCAGUUAAUCCCCCGUCUUUGUCACCACCAGGAACUACAGGAAUUGAACAGAGUCUGACUGGACUUUCUAUUAGCUCAACUCCACCAGCUGUCAGUAGUGUUCUCAGUACAGGUGUACCAACAGUACCGUUAUUGCCACCACAAGUAAACCAGUCCCUCACUUCUGUGCCACCAAUGAAUCCAGCUACUACAUUACCAGGUCUGAUGCCUUUACCAGCAGGACUGCCCAACCUCCCCAACCUCAACCUCAACCUCCCAGCACCACACAUCAUGCCAGGGGUUGGCUUACCAGAACUUGUAAACCCAGGUCUGCCACCUCUUCCUUCCAUGCCUCCCCGAAACUUACCUGGCAUUGCACCUCUCCCCCUGCCAUCCGAGUUCCUCCCGUCAUUCCCCUUGGUUCCAGAGAGCUCUUCUGCAGCAAGCUCAGGAGAGCUGCUGUCUUCCCUCCCGCCCACCAGCAACGCACCCUCCGACCCUGCCACAACUACUGCAAAGGCAGACGCUGCCUCCUCACUCACUGUGGAUGUGACGCCCCCCACUGCCAAGGCCCCCACCACCGUUGAGGACAGAGUCGGCGACUCCACCCCAGUCAGCGAGAAGCCUGUUUCUGCGGCUGUGGAUGCCAAUGCUUCUGAGUCACCUUAACUUUGAACCAUUCUUUGGAAUUGGCGUGGUAUAUUUAACCACGGGAGCGUGUCUGGAAACGCAAACUAUCAUUAAUUUCAUACUAGUUUGUACCG